AUAAAAUCCCUUAAAAAAAUACAUGUUACGUAGUGUGACCUGUGACCAGAAGAUGAGUGUUUAGGAUAAGUUAUGUUCGUAAAGAAAUUAUAUAUCUUGGUGGACGUAAUAUGUGCAGAGGACUGAACGCAAUACUGCUUCGCUGCAGUAAAAUGCUGGACGGUGGUGCCUAUCCGUGCAGGCUCACAAUUCGCCCUACAAUCAGUAAUUUAGCAAAAUAAAUACUGCGGUUAAAUUGCGAUAUUAUUCCUUCAUCGUGGAAGCUAUUCUUUAAAAAAACCCGUGUCAGGUACGUAUUCCCUUAAAUAUACUGUGACUUGCCUAAUGCUUUAAAUCCCAUGAAUGCUUGACUGUAACAGG